AGCAGCCGCGGUAAUUCCAGCUCCAAUAGCGUAUAUUAAAGUUGUUGCAGUUAAAAAGCUCGUAGUUGAAUUUCGGGAUCAAUAUGUUGGUCGUGCCUUGGUACGUACUAGUUUAUUGGUUUCUUCCUUCUGACGAACCAUGAUGUCAUUAAUUUGGUGUCAUGGGGAAUCAGGACUGUUACUUUGAAAAAAUUAGUGUUUAAAGCAAGCUCACGCUUGAAUACAUUAGCAUGGAAUAAUGAAAUAGGACGUUUGAUUCUAUUUUGUUGGUUUCUAGGAUCGACGUAAUGAUUAAUAGGGAUAGUUGGGGGCAUUAGUAUUCAAUUGUCAGAGGUGAAAUUCUUGGAUUUAUUGAAGACUAACUACUGCGAAAGCAAUUUGCCAAGGAUGUUUUCAUUAAUCAAGAACGAAAGUUAGGGGAUCGAAGACGAUCAGAUACCGUCGUAGUCUUAACCAUAAACUAUGCCGACUAGGGAUCGGAUGAUGUUAAUUUUUUAAUGACUCAUUCGGCGCCUUAUA
rnacentral:rRNA from 1 species